UACAGAGGUCCCAAGCGUUACUGAGAAUCACUGGGUUUAAAGGGUGCGUAGGUGGGCAGGUAAGUCAGUGGUGAAAUCUCCGAGCUUAACUCGGAAACUGCCGUUGAUACUAUUUGUCUUGAAUAUUGUGGAGGUAAGCGGAAUAUGUCAUGUAGCGGUGAAAUGCUUAGAUAUGACAUAGAACACCAAUUGCGAAGGCAGCUUACUACACAACGAUUGACGCUGAGGCACGAAAGCGUGGGGAUCAAACAGG
rnacentral:rRNA from 1 species